CUAGACUUGGGAGGACUGCUAGGACUAUAGAGGAGAGGUUUGCAGCCUGUGACACGCACCUCAUGGAGACCUAGGUAGUCUUGGGUUCUGA
rnacentral:miRNA from 1 species